CCGGUGGUGGUGCUGUCUGUUGUUCCAUCUGUUGUGGUGCUUUCUGAUGUUGUCAUCUCCGUUGUUGUAUUUUCUGAAGUUGUGGUACCGGUGGUGCUGCUUUCUGUUGUUGUAGUAUCCAUUGUGGUUUGUAUCAUUGUAGUGGUUUCUGUUGUUGUUUCAGUUGUGGUGCUUUCUUUUGUUGUUGAAGUGUCUGUUGUUGUAAUUUCUGGAGCUGUGGUAACAGUGGGGGUACUUUCUGAUGUUGUAGUGUCUGUUGUGGUUUCCACUGUUGUACUUUCUGGAGUUGAGGUACCAGUGGUAGUGGUUUCUGUUGUUGAUGUACUUUCUGUUGUUGUGGAUUCAGUUGUGCUUUCUGUAGUUGAGGUACCAAUGGUAGUGGUUUCGGUUGUUGUACUUUCUGGUGUUGUGGUACCGGAGGUUGUACUUUCUGUUGUUGUCUCAGUUGUGAUGCUGUCUGUUGUUAUUGUUGUUUCUGCUGUUGUACUUUCUGGUGUUGUGGUACCGGAGGUUGUACUUUCUG
ensembl:lncRNA